ACGGGUGAGUAAUGUCUGGGGAUCUGCCCGAUAGAGGGGGAUAACCACUGGAAACGGUGGCUAAUACCGCAUAACGCCGCAAGACCAAAGAGGGGGACCUUCGGGCCUCUCACUAUCGGAUGAACCCAGAUGGGAUUAGCUAGUAGGCGGGGUAAUGGCCCACCUAGGCGACGAUCCCUAGCUGGUCUGAGAGGAUGACCAGCCACACUGGAACUGAGACACGGUCCAGACUCCUACGGGAGGCAGCAGUGGGGAAUAUUGCACAAUGGGCGCAAGCCUGAUGCAGCCAUGCCGCGUGUAUGAAGAAGGCCUUCGGGUUGUAAAGUACUUUCAGCGGGGAGGAAGGCGACGGGGUUAAUAACCCUGUCGAUUGACGUUACCCGCAGAAGAAGCACCGGCUAACUCCGUGCCAGCAGCCGCGGUAAUACGGAGGGUGCAAGCGUUAAUCGGAAUUACUGGGCGUAAAGCGCACGCAGGCGGUCUGUUAAGUCAGAUGUGAAAUCCCCGGGCUUAACCUGGGAACUGCAUUUGAAACUGGCAGGCUUGAGUCUUGUAGAGGGGGGUAGAAUUCCAGGUGU
rnacentral:rRNA from 1 species